AUUGCGGAAUUUAAUAUACAGUUUGUAAUUGCUCAUCCUAUGUGUUCUAAUUCACGGAGACAAUGUCUUUCAGUCUUUUCACCCAAGGAGGCAUGCAUAUACGGAUUUAGGCUUUGACAAGAAACAACCAAAAUGGCGGCCGGUGAAUUAGAAAGUGAUCUGAACGGAGAAUAGGAGUACUGCAUCCCAUCUGAUCCUGCAGUCAAUUCACCCAAGGAGGCAUGCAUAUACGGAUUUAUAGGCUUUGACAACAAACAACCAAAAUGGCGGCCGGUGAAUUAGAAAGUGUCUGAGUGCAUGAAGGAUAUCUGAACGGAGAAUAGGAGUACUGCAUCCCAUCUGAUCCUGCAGUCAUUUCACCCAAGGAGGCAUGCAUAUACGGAUUGAUAGGCUUUGACAACAAACAACCAAAAUGGCGGCCGGUGAAUUAGAAAGCGUCUGAGUGCAUGUCGGAUAUCUGAACGGAGAAUAGGAGUACUGCAUCCCAUCUGAUCCUGCAGUCAUUUCACCCAAGGAGGCAUGCAUAUACGGAUUGAUAGGCUUUGACAACAAACAACCAAAAUGGCGGCCGGUGAAUUAGAAAGUGUCUGAGUGCAUGUAGGAUAUCUGAACGGAGAAUAGGAGUACUGCAUCCCAUCUGAUCCUGCAGGUAAGUGUUUAUUUGUUUACAAUGACAGUCGGGAUGGAAUGUCAAUGAGUUCAACUGUCAAGUAAAGUUGCAUCAUCAUUAUAAAAAAAAAACUUAGUCUUUAUGUUGAUGCAGGCAGACAAUUGAAUCUGGCCUAUGUCUUUUCAUGAAUGUAAAUGGAAUUCAUGUUUGAUUGACAAGACAGUCAAGAAAUGGAAGAAGUGGGUGUAGGUCAGAUGUGUAGGUGUAGGUCAGAUUAGCUAGAAUCCUGUAAUUGUUGCAUGGCAUGAGACCGGUCAAAAUAGUGUAUUGAAACAGCUGAUCACAAUCAGAUCACUUGAAGGGUGGGGGGUUUCUUCCUUGGGGACGACAGGCGUGAUGGGUGUGUUGGCCUUACUCGUGGAGACUGGCCCCUGGAUGCGUGACCUUGACCUUUGACCUUGACCCACUUUCAAGGUCAAACCUCAAAAAUCCUGUUGUUGGGCAUGAAACCGGUCAAAAUAGUGUAUUAUAAACAGCUGAGGACAGACAGAUCACUUGAAGGGUGGGGGGUUUCUUCCUUGGGGACGACAGGCGUGAUGGGUGGGUUGGCCUUACUCGUGGAGACUGGCCCCUGGAUGCGUGACCUUGACCUUUGACCUUGACCCACUUUCAAGGUCAAACCUCAAAAACCCAUGGGGGAGAAAGUGUGACUUUGACCUUGACCUGAUUUUGAAGGUCAGAGAGGUCACGGGGAUUCGUUUAAGUGGUCCCGCAUCCCUAUCUACAUCCGUGAAGAAGUUGUGGGCUCGAACGACGACGUCGGAGACUUUCGGGGGCGAGAACCGUGCUUCGGGGUUCUCGGUUUCCCUCGGUCAACUUUUCUGUGCGAGACCGUUUCAUCUGGAAUUCGUCGGCGAAGGUCUCGCCUCUCCACGACUUGCGGUCUAGUGAGAGUAGCAAUAACGGGGUUUUCGACGUUAAGUCGCCGCCAUUCGCAGAGUGGUCAAAGUUCAGAGUUGACAUUCGUGAUGCCGAGACCGGUCCAAAAUUCCUUGCUGACCCGUGUGAUAUUUCGAUGCUAUCUGAAGCGUGAAAGAGCAUAUAAAAAGUGCCAUUUUCUGGCCAUUCUGGAUGACCUUUGACCUUGACCUACUUUUUCAAGGUCAAGGUCACCCAACCCGUCCCAGUGGGUUCCGUCUCUUUACGACGAAGACUUUAGGAGUCGUCAAUUUGUAGGGGACAAAUCGCAAAACAUGAGGGGGCAUUAACUCCCUUUAAGGGACACCGAAUCCCUUCAUUUGAAAUUCUUCGCUUCUACUAAUUACCCUCUGUGUUUUAGAAAAGGUUUCAUCCUCCUAUCAUUUACGGUUACAAAGUAGAAGUGCUAACAAUGAUUUCUGCGAAAGGUCAAAUAACUCCGUAAGGGGUCAAAGUUCAAUUACGCAGGGUGAACUGUAUUCGUUUCUCAAGAAGUACUAUAUGAUGGACUAUAAAGUUUUUCGAUAAGUCUUAAGACGAAGAUUUUUUUUGACGGCAGGAAAAUAAUAAUAAUAAUAAUAAUAAUAAACAGAACAAUAACAAUAGGACUUUCCACUGAAAGGUGGAAAGCCCUAAUAAACAGAACAAUAACAAUAGGACUUUCCACUGAAAGGUGGAAAGCCCUAAUAACGAGCUAUAACUGUGUUGGGAUGCCAACACAAAUGUCUCCGAACACCUCCCCUUGUCAGAAAUGAUAUUUGAUGCCAGAUCAGGAUUCUCAAAUAACCCUAGAAACUAAAUUUGGUUGAAAUCCGACGGACUUGAUUUUUUGGCCGUCAUUUUCUUCAAUGGCGGCCAUUUUGAAACAUUUGAAAAUUGAUUGGAAGGAAAUACUGAUGCUAGAAAUGAAUUGUGGACCCUCCAUUUACCCCAGAACCCAAAUGUUGUUGAGAUUUUAACACUUUCAAAUAUUUUGGUAUAUGUUGGCCAUUUUGAAAAUGGCGGCUCAAAAAAAAAAUUGAUGGUGGAAAUGGACUUGGGGUCAUAAAAUUACCCUAGAAAUAGAAUUUGGUUGAAAUCCGACAACCUUGAGUUUUUGACGUUUUUUGGCCGCCAUCUUGAAACGGCGGCCAUUUUGAAAAUUUGAAAAGUUGAAUGCACCCCUCCUAGUGACCCCCUAUCAGCUCACAAAGUUUGAAGUGGAUCUGUUGAAGCACUUUCACAAAAUCGGUCGGACAAAUUUCUCACUAAAGAAGAGGAAUAAUAAGAAUAAGAAGAAAAUAAUAAUAAUAAUAAGAAACGGAGCAAAAACAAUAUGUCUCCGACACUUUGUGUUCGGAGACAUAAUAAUAACUAGAGACUCAUUACUAGUAAUGAGUAGGUCUUCCGUUAGACCACUUCCGGUAAAGAGCUUUCUGUUCCUACGAAAACCAUUUAAAUAUAUCAGAAAAUGUGCCUUAACAAUGAAUGAGAAAUGUAUUAUCGAAUUUUUUACUCCUUUCUCGUAACUUCCGGUGAUGACCUGAAGUACUAUUCAGAUGUGUUUUCCUAUAAAUGACAGCCACUCUUUACUGUCUAUAUUCCCUGAAAAUUUCACGUCUUUAUCUGAAGAGUUCUCAACAAAAAGAAGUAGACUAAAGAAAGAAAAAGUAGUACGUAACUACCGACCGGAAGUCGAUUUUGAAAAACGAAAUUGUCAAAACGCUAGAAGUUGAUACUAUUCUUAAGACAUGUGAAAAUCAUAUCAAAGACUUCAAAUAUAAGCGAGAUUUGUGGGGACAAAGAGACAAAAAGUAAAAAAGUAUUUUAUCAAGAAACUGGAAGUAGUCGUUUUGACUAUCGACGGGGUCAAUAUUCUUUUGACAUUUUGAAAGAGACUUAAUAAACUAGUAUAAGUUUCAAUUUAAAAGAAAAAGUUUGAAAUUUACAAUUAUUUCAAUCACUUCCGGUGACGACAGGAAGUGACGGUCGACAUGCUCAACACCCUAUUGCAUGCUUACAAACGGAGAUUGAUUAUCCCUGAAUAAUUGAUGAACCUAUCUUUUACCCUUUCCAAGAAAAAUGCUGGAUAAAAUCUCGUUUCAGAAACAGAAAAUUGGCCAUAUUUUCCUACCGGAAGUGAAUUUUGGAAAAACAAAAAUAACCACAGGAAAGUCAUUUCAUAAGACAUUAUUCCUGAAAAUUUCAAAAAAAUCUAUCCAGCCAUCUCUGAGAAAUCACUCGAAGAAAUCGGAAAAUCGUCAUUUUUUUCAAAUACUUCCGGUAUAGAGCGGAAGUGACGGACGAAGAAAUUGAAAGUAUGUGUACAAUGACCUAAUGCUAGUUGAUCAACCCUACAAGUUUCAAGCGUCUAUAUAUUUUCGUUAUUGAGAAACUGAAAAAACAAAGUUUCAAUUUGUCCACCCCCUAUCUCACAACCGGAAGUGAAUUUUCGAAAAAUAUUUGACGUUACUCUAGACAUUUAUAGUGUCUACAAUAUAUGUUAAAUACAAGUCAAACACUUGUUUAGUAAACGAGAUUUAAGGCAUUGAAAAAGGAGAAUUUGAAAAGUUUUUCCUUAAUUACCGGAAGUCGACGUUUCCACUUCCGGUGGGGUCAACGGUUUUCAAUACUCCAAAAGGUAUCUGAUAAAGUGGUAUAGGUUUCGAUUCAACAACUACAACUUUAAUUUUUCGAUUCUUCUUAUCACUUCCGUUGACGACCGGAAGUGACGGCCGACAUUCUGAACCCCCAACUGCACGCCUACAAAGUGAGAUCUAUUAACUCUGAAAUUUUGGUGACUCUAUCUUUUACCGUUUCUGAGAAAAACGAUGGACAAAAUCUCUUCUAAAAAAACGGAAAUUGGACAUAUCUAACGACCGGAAGUAAAUUUUGAAAAAAUGAAAAAAAAUACCUGGGGGUAUUUUCAUUCUCUAUCAUCCCUGAAAAUUUCAAAAAAAUCCAUCCAGCCAUCUCUGAGAAAUCAUGCCGACAAAAAAGGGGAAAUAAUAAUAAUAAUAAUAACUAGACACUCAUUACUGGUAAUGAGUAGGUCUUCCGUUUGAAUACUUCCGGUACAUAGCUUUCUGUUCUUACGAGAAUCCUUCAAAUAUAUCAGAAAAUGUGCCUUUUCAAGACAUGAGAGGUGUGUUAAUGAAGUUUUUACCAAUUUCUCGUAACUUCCGGUGACGACCGGAAUUAAUAUUCAGAUGUGUUUUCCCAUAAACCACAGCGACUCCCUAUUCUCUAUAUACCUUGAAAGUUUCACGUCUCUAUUUGAAAGAGUUCUCAAGAAAAAGAAGCAGACUAAAGAAAGAAAUAGUAGUGGCUUACUACCGACCGGAAGUGAAUUUUGAAAAAUAAAAUAGUCUUAAAUCAAGAUGUUGAUACUGUUCUGAAGAUAUUUGAAAAUCAUAUCAAACACUUGAAAUAUAAACGAGAUUGAUGGGGGACAAAAAGACGAAAGGUAUCAGAGUAUUUUCUCGAGAAACCGGAAGUAGUCGUUUUGACUACCGACGGGGUCAACAUUCUUUAAAUACUUUGAAAGAGACUUAAUAAACUAGUGUAGGUUUCAAUUUAAAAGAAAAAGUUUGAAAUUAGUUAUUCUUUCAAUCACUUCCGGUUACGACCGGAAGUGAUAACGAAAAACAAAUUAAUGUGCAUGCACUAUACAAUCGAGAGAUCUAUAAUACCUGAAAGUUUCAUUUGUUCCUCUUGAGUCGUUUUUUAGAUUACCCCCGGAAAAGAUGAUUUUUUGAAAAAUGGAAAUCGGAAAUAUCUUACGAACGGAAGUAGAUUUUAUAAAAAUGAAAGAUCCUGUCUAAGGGUACUACAAUUCUCUAUCAUCUUCAUAAUUAACAAGAAUAUCCAUUUAACAAUCUCUGAGGAAUCGUGUUGAAAAAAUUUGAAUAUAGUAAAUUUUUCAACCACUUCCUGUUGAAACUGGAAGUGACGUACACUCAUAUAUAAAAUAGGUUGAAGAUGGACUACUGCAAAUCUAUAACCCCUGCAAGUUUCAAGGGUAUAUCUAUACUCAUUCCGGAGAUAUCAGGGAAACAAAGUCUGAAUUUGUCCACACCAUAUCUAACGACCAGAAGUGAAUUUUACAAAAAUAUUUGAUGUUACUGUCGACAUAUAUAGUGACUAUAAUAUAUGUAAAACUCAACUUAUUAACUUGUUUCAUGACUGAGAUUUAUGGCACUGAAAAAUAAGCGAAUAAAUAGACUUUCUUUGAUAUAACCGGAAGUUGGAGAUUCAACUUCCGGUGGGGUCAACAUUGUUUGAGAAUUAGUAAGAGACCUUGUAAACCGAUAUAAGUUUCAAUUUGAAAUAAAAAAGUUUGAAAUUGAUGAUUCAUUUAAGCACUUCCGGUGACGACCGGAAGUGACGGCAACAAAAAAUAUUAAGUGCAUGCGCCAUAGAGAAAAUAGAUCUAUCAUCCCUGAAAGUUCCAUUAGAUUAUCUUUAGUGGUUUUCAAGUUUACCCCCGGACAAGGUUGCUUUCAAAAACCGGAAAAUCGGACGUAUCUGACGAACGGAAGUGAAUUUUGAAAAAAUGAAAAAAAUGCCUGGAGGUAUCAUCGUUCUCUAUAACCUGUGAAAGUUUCAGGAAAAUCCAUCCAACGGUCUCGGAGACGAAAGGGAAAAAAAAUAAUAAUAAUAAACAGUAGAAUCACUAGAAGGUCUUCCGUUGGUAACGGAAGACCUUAACUAGUACUUAUUGUAACGGGGACCGUUACAGAUGUUCCCCAAACAUUCCCCAAUUUAGUAAGUGGUGACAUUUAUUUCAGUACAAGUUGUUUUGACCAUUGCAAACUGUGUAGCAUGUGAAUAUAUAACUAUCUUAUAACGUUCAGUCCAUUUCAUACUAGUUCAAAUCAGUUAUAAAGAUCUGAGAGUUUUGUGCACGUACGUGCAUGCACGUGCAUAUAAAUAAUUCCACCAUCUCGAUACAUUAGAAUUCUUACUAUAUGAGUACAAGAGAAGUUUCACAACUGUUCAAUGAAAAACGAGAAAUUAACGGCAACUCAACACUACAAAGACCGAAAUCAAUGCACGUGCAUACACGUGCGCAUGAGUACCACACAACAAUUUUGUUGAUGCUAUUCAAUAGACAUUUGAAAAAUAUACUUACUAUAUGAAUUUGGUAUCGAUCGCUUCACUCAUAAGAAAGUUAUUGGGAUUUCAAAAUCGUCCAAUCAGAAUUAAGCGCACGUGCAUGCGCGUGCAGGGAAGUGAUUUUGAGACUAUUAAUAGAUUGAGAGGCCCAAAACAUACCUGCAACCUAAUUUUCAAACCUAUUCAUUGCAAUCUCAAAAUGUUAUAGACCAAUACUUAAAUUUAGACGUCAAAAAUUACAAUGCACGCGCAUUCACCCGCACGUGAUUUUGAUAAUGGAAAAUUUGUUGACACCAUUUCAUAGACAUUCAUAUGAUAGAUCCUCAGGGUAAAUUUGAAUUCAUUUGAGUUUUUAAUUCAAUAGUUAUAACCAUUUUAGUACCCGAAAAAUGAAAGAAAAGCUAUGCACGUGCAUACACGGGGCACGUGAGUAUCACUCAGCAUCAAUGUUGAUGUCAUUCAAUAGACAUUUGAUAAAUAUACUUACAGUAUAAAUUUCAUAUUGUUUCCAUCAUUUAUAAGAAAGUUAUGGCGAUUUGAAAAUCGUCCAAUCAGAAUUUAGCACACGUGCAUGCACAUGCCGGAUGGUAAUUAUGACUGUACACUUUUGUUAAGAAUAUCAAGAUACAUAUACUAUACAAGUUUGAAAAGAUUUUGACAAAAAACAAAAAAGUUAUGGUCAUUCAAAGAAUUGAACCUUCAAAAGAUAAUGCAUGUGCGUGCGCAUGCGCGUUUGCAAUUUUUAUUUCAUUGAUCUGUAGAUAUUUUGCAUGUCUACCUAUCCUGUAAAUAUCAUAAAAUUUCCUUAAUUGGCAUGAAUGUUAUAAACGGUUUUGUAUUAUCCAAUCAAAUUGAAGCACACGUGCAUGCGCGUGCAGAAUUGAAAUUUUGACGAUGCCAAACAGUUAAGGGCCCAAGUUAUACCUACGAUAUAAAUAUCAAACGAUUUCAUUGAAAAAUAAAGAAGUUAGACGCAUUCCAAAGUUUGUAAACAAAAAAUCCAAUGCACGUGCAUGCACAUGCAUGCAUUUUCAGACAAAAUGACAUUCGUUCCACACAUCUACAUAUGCUAUACUAUCAUCCUAAAAAGGUUUCAUAUUGAUCCCUUGAGUAGUUUCUGAGAACACUUGUGGACAAAAAAGUCCCAAGAAGAAAGAAAGAAUAAUAAUAAUAACUAGACACGAUCUCGUUGCGAGCAACGAGUAGGUCUUCCGUCCGAUUUGUUGAUGCACUCGGAGUUAAAAAAAAAAAAAAAAAGACAAAUGAG